rnacentral:lncRNA from 10 species
CAACUUUCUCAUUCAGCAACUGUUUAUUGAACCUUUUGCCCAGAACCAGAGGCAACUGUGACAAAUGCUACUGCCCAUGCUGGCAAAAAUGCGCACAGUCUGGUAGGGGCUAUAGACAUAUAACGAGUCAAACAUUCCACAAAGUAGUAAUGUUUCCACAGAUGACCCUGGGUGGUCCAGGAGCAGAGCUGAUGGUGUCUAACCCAGGGGUGUUCAGGGAGGACUCUUGUAGCAGGCACAUACUAUUCCCCAAACUGUCACCUCUCUAAUCUGGAUCCCCUCCCACCACACCAGCCCCUUGGCUCAUUCUUCUAUUCCCAAUUGUAUUAUUGCCCUCUGCAGAGAGUCACAAGGGAUGGGACAUGAGGCUGGAGAGGAAAGCAGGGCCAGGUCACACAUGUCUCAGUGGAGACACUGGACAUUUUCAUGGGAGCAGUAGGGUGUGAGACUUCAGUUCCAUCUCUCUCCUGUAACCUAAGCAUUUAUGAGAGAGAAACCCUUUUUAUCCCAUGGUGUCAGCCCACAAAAGAAGAACUUCUAAGAAAAACUUCUAAGAGCUCUGGAGGCAGAACAAGUUCAGGGGCUCUAUGCCAGGGUUAACAGGUAACCCUGGCACUCCACGCUGGCCACCAAGCCAGCUUUUGACCUUGGUCAUGAUUCUGUUCUGGAAACUGGACCCAGGGAAGCUCCUGUGCCUCCUGCAGCUCUGUGCUUUAUUCCCUGUCACAGGUAUUGGCAUGCACUAGAUGAUGUCAUUGUGGACUCAUGUUGUCACCAGCAACGGUGAGGAGAAGAGCUCAAUCCUUGAAAGCCAGUGCCAUAUCCUGUGUAUUUUUUUCUAAAUGGGACUAUCUUAUUAAGCUUGGAGAAGUUCAUGGGAGCCAGACACCAAAGUCCACGUCGUAGGUGCUGUCUCCAGGUGCCUCCUGAGUCUCCAGUCCUUGGUUGGCAUAGAUGGGAUGAUGGUGUCCAGGCAGAGGUGGGAGAGGACAGUCUGCUCAAUGUGUGCCAGUGUCCUUUGUCAUCUGGGUCCCCAGUCUGCUCUGCUCAGAUCCUGCAUCUCAUGAGUUCUCGACUGAGUAGUCCCCAUCAGCUUCUGCUGCUAAUGCCUCUUGUAGGUGGCCUCAAAAUCAGCCUGGGGAUCGAGUGGAUGGGAAGAGGCUAUUCUCUCUCUCACUGUUCUUUUCCCCUUUCUUUGCCUCUGCCCACUCUUUCAAAUAAAACUCUCUUCUCUCCUGUCCUUCAUCUUCAAAGAGUUUAAUUUGUAGAAGCCUUUUAUGUAUUAUGAUUAUUAACCUUCUAUUUAUCUAUACUGAAGACACUUGUAUCAGUUUGUCUUUGACAUUGUUAG